AUCAUAAUCAGAAAUGAAAAGCCUUAAACUUAUCGUCGGUUACGCGUUCCCUCCGGCAACAGGUUCAUCGGUUACGCUUCUCCUCAACCAACGCCGUCCCACGAUCUUAAGUCAUCAAAUGCCAAAGAUGGGUAUUAUUAUUAUCAUCAUCAACGCACCGCCUCUACCAUCAUCUCCACAGCUCUUAGAUUCUGACAACGUUUCAAGCGACGAGGGUUUCAAUAUUCGAAGGGCAGUUGGAGCGAGAUUAGAAAGAUUUUGGUGAAUAAGAUCACGUCCCCUUCAAAGACCUCAGCUGGGAUCUUGCUUUGCCAAGGCAUAUAACAUACAAUUGUAUUGAACACAGCACUGGGACUUGUUUGGCCAAAAGAUGUACGUAGAUUGUGAAAUUUUUGAAAUUACUUAUGUGAGUAAUUCUCCACCUUCAAUGUACAUGAUAUAUAGGUCCUUCUGUUGCUCAUUCCAAUGAAAUGAAUCUUGUGAACUUGUAGAAGAAAAUUGGACAAACCAACGUAAGACAAAGUCUGUUAUCUUCACAAAUAGUUCUGUAAUAAUUUUGAUUCACUUCAUUUAUUUUUUAUGUCAUAGGGAUGCUUGAAAAGUUAUGUUGAGCAUCCAACAUCUU